rnacentral:sRNA from 12 species
CCUAUUGAGUGUUAUAUCAAAUGAUAGUAGAAGUGAGGUUUACUUUACUUUGAGGUCAGACACGAUGAUGUAGGAA